GACGAACGCUGGCGGCGUGCUUAACACAUGCAAGUCGAACGGAAAGGCCCUGCUUUUGUGGGGUGCUCGAGUGGCGAACGGGUGAGUAACACGUGAGUAACCUGCCCUUGACUUUGGGAUAACUUCAGGAAACUGGGGCUAAUACCGGAUAGGAGCUCCUGCUGCAUGGUGGGGGUUGGAAAGUUUCGGCGGUUGGGGAUGGACUCGCGGCUUAUCAGCUUGUUGGUGGGGUAGUGGCUUACCAAGGCUUUGACGGGUAGCCGGCCUGAGAGGGUGACCGGCCACAGUGGGACUGAGAUACGGCCCAGACUCCUACGGGAGGCAGCAGUGGGGAAUAUUGCACAAUGGGCGGAAGCGUGAUGCAGCAACGCCGCGUGCGGGAUGACGGCCUUCGGGUUGGAAACCGCUUUCGCCUGUGACGAAGCGUGAGUGACGGUAAUGGGUAAAGAAGCACCGGCUAACUACGUG
rnacentral:rRNA from 1 species